rnacentral:rRNA from 1 species
CAGCCGCCGCGGUAAUACGUAGGGUGCGAGCGUUAAUCGGAAUUACUGGGCAUAAAGCGUGCGCAGGCGGUUAUAUAAGACAGAUGUGAAAUCCCCGGGCUCAACCUGGGACCUGCAUUUGUGACUGUAUAGCUAGAGUACGGUAGAGGGGGAUGGAAUUCCGCGUGUAGCAGUGAAAUGCGUAGAUAUGCGGAGGAACACCGAUGGCGAAGGCAAUCCCCUGGACCUGUACUGACGCUCAUGCGCGAAAGCGUGGGGAGCAAACAGGAUUAGAUACCCCAGUAGUCCCUGUCUCUUAUAA